rnacentral:tRNA from 1 species
GUCCCUGUAGCGCAAUGGAUAGCGCGUUGGACUUCUAAUCCAAAGGUCGCGGGUUCGAAUCCCACCUGAAAUG